GGGCAAACCGAAGAGUUUACUCUUCGGGGUUGUAGGACUGCAAUGUGGACUCAAAGAUUAUAGAAGAAUGAUUUGGGAAGAUCAGCCAAAGAGAGUAAUAGCCUCGUAUUUAAAAUAGUCUUUGUACCUAGCAGUAUCCUGAGUACGGCGGGACACGUGAAAUCCCGUCGGAAUCUGGGAGGACCAUCUCCCAACCCUAAAUACUCCCUAGUGACCGAUAGUGAACCAGUACCGUGAGGGAAAGGUGAAAAGCACCCCGGGAGGGGAGUGAAAUAGAACCUGAAACCGUGUGCCUACAACAAGUUCGAGCCCGUUAAUGGGUGAGAGCGUGCCUUUUGUAGAAUGAACCGGCGAGUUACGUUAUGAUGCGAGGUUAAGUUGAAGAGACGGAGCCGUAGGGAAACCGAGUCUGAAUAGGGCGCCUUAGUAUCAUGACGUAGACCCGAAACCAUGUGACCUACCCAUGAGCAGGUUGAAGGUGCGGUAAGACGCACUGGAGGACCGAACCAGGGCACGUUGAAAAGUGCUUGGAUGACUUGUGGGUAGCGGAGAAAUUCCAAACGAACUUGGAGAUAGCUGGUUCUCUCCGAAAUAGCUUUAGGGCUAGCGUCGACAUUAGAGAUUCUUGGAGGUAGAGCACUGUUUGGGUGAGGGGUCCAUCCCGGAUUACCAAUCUCAGAUAAACUCCGAAUGCCAAUGAAUUAUGGUCGGCAGUCAGACUGCGAGUGCUAAGAUCCGUAGUCGAAAGGGAAACAGCCCAGACCACCAGCUAAGGUCCCAAAAUAAUUGUUAAGUGGAAAAGGAUGUGGGGUUGCACAGACAACUAGGAUGUUAGCUUAGAAGCAGCUAUUCAUUCAAAGAGUGCGUAAUAGCUCACUAGUCGAGUGACCCUGCGCCGAAAAUGUACCGGGGCUAAAACAAUUUACCGAAGCUGUGGAUACCUUUAUAGGUAUGGUAGGAGAGCGUUCUAUGUGUGAUGAAGGUAUACCGUGAGGAGUGCUGGAACGCAUAGAAGUGAGAAUGCCGGUAUGAGUAGCGAAAGACAGGUGAGAAUCCUGUCCACCGUAAGACUAAGGUUUCCAGGGGAAGGCUCGUCCGCCCUGGGUUAGUCGGGACCUAAGGAGAGACCGAAAGGUGUAUCCGAUGGACAACAGGUUGAUAUUCCUGUACUAGAGUAUGUAGUGAUGGAGGGACGCAGUAGGCUAACUAAAGCAGACGAUUGGAAGAGUCUGUCUAAGCAGUGAGGUGUGAAUUGAGUCAAAUGCUUAAUUCUAUAACAUUGAGCUGUGAUGGGGAGCGAAGUUUAGUAGCGAAGUUAGUGACGUCACACUGCCAAGAAAAGCUUCUAGCGUUUAAACAUACUCUACCCGUACCGCAAACCGACACAGGUAGUCGAGGCGAGUAGCCUCAGGUGAGCGAGAGAACUCUCGUUAAGGAACUCGGCAAAAUGACCCCGUAACUUCGGGAGAAGGGGUGCUGACUUAAAGUCAGCCGCAGUGAAUAGGCCCAAGCAACUGUUUAUCAAAAACACAGCUCUCUGCUAAAUCGUAAGAUGAUGUAUAGGGGGUGACGCCUGCCCGGUGCUGGAAGGUUAAGAGGAGUGCUUAGCGUAAGCGAAGGUAUGAAUUGAAGCCCCAGUAAACGGCGGCCGUAACUAUAACGGUCCUAAGGUAGCGAAAUUCCUUGUCGGGUAAGUUCCGACCCGCACGAAAGGCGUAAUGAUUUGGGCACUGUCUCAACGAGAGACUCGGUGAAAUUUUAGUACCUGUGAAGAUGCAGGUUACCCGCGACAGGACGGAAAGACCCCAUGGAGCUUUACUGCAGUUUGAUAUUGAGUGUCUGUACCACAUGUACAGGAUAGGUAGGAGUCUAAGAGAUCGGGACGCCAGUUUCGAAGGAGACGCUGUUGGGAUACUACCCUUGUGUUAUGGCCACUCUAACCCAGAUAGGUGAUCCCUAUCGGAGACAGUGUCUGACGGGCAGUUUGACUGGGGCGGUCGCCUCCUAAAAGGUAACGGAGGCGCCCAAAGGUUCCCUCAGAAUGGUUGGAAAUCAUUCGCAGAGUGUAAAGGUAUAAGGGAGCUUGACUGCGAGAGCUACAACUCGAGCAGGGACGAAAGUCGGGCUUAGUGAUCCGGUGGUUCCGUAUGGAAGGGCCAUCGCUCAACGGAUAAAAGCUACCCUGGGGAUAACAGGCUUAUCUCCCCCAAGAGUUCACAUCGACGGGGAGGUUUGGCACCUCGAUGUCGGCUCGUCGCAUCCUGGGGCUGUAGUCGGUCCCAAGGGUUGGGCUGUUCGCCCAUUAAAGCGGCACGCGAGCUGGGUUCAGAACGUCGUGAGACAGUUCGGUCCCUAUCCGUCGCGGGCGUAGGAAAUUUGAGAGGAUCUGCUCCUAGUACGAGAGGACCAGAGUGGACUUACCGCUGGUGUACCAGUUGUCUUGCCAAAGGCAUCGCUGGGUAGCUAUGUAGGGAAGGGAUAAACGCUGAAAGCAUCUAAGUGUGAAACCCACCUCAAGAUGAGAUUUCCCAUGAUUAUAUAUCAGUAAGAGCCCUGAGAGAUGAUCAGGUAGAUAGGUUAGAAGUGGAAGUGUGGCGACACAUGUAGCGGACUAAUACUAAUAGCUCGAGGACUUAUCCAA
rnacentral:rRNA from 1 species